rnacentral:rRNA from 1 species
UACGUAGGUGGCAAGCGUUACUCGGAAUCACUAGGCGUAAAGCGCAGGUAGGCGGUUUGGUAAGUCUGUUGUGAAAGCUCCCGGCUCAACUGGGAGAGGUCAACGGAAACUGCCAGGCUCGAGUGUGGUAGAGGUAGCUGGAAUUCCGGUGUAGCGGUGAAAUGCGUAGAUAUCGGGAGGAAUACCUAUGGCGAAAGCAGGCUACUGGACCAUCACUGACGCUGAUCUGCGAAAGCUAGGGGAGCAAACAGG